rnacentral:rRNA from 1 species
CCUACGGGCGGCAGCAGUGAGGAAUAUUGGUCAAUGGGCGGGAGCCUGAACCAGCCAAGCCGCGUGAGGGAAGAAGGUCCAACGUGUCGUAAACCUCUUUUGUCAGGGAACAAAGGCGGGGACUUGUCCCCUUAUCGAGAUACCUUGAGGAAAAGCAUCGGCUAACUCCGUGCCCGUAGCCGCGGUAAUACGGAGGAUGCGGGCGUUUUCCGGAUUUAUUGGGGUUAAAGGGUGCGUAGGCGGCAUUUUCAAGCAGCGGGAAAAGCCCGGGGCUCAACCCCGGCGAGCCGUUGAAACUGGUGGGCUGGAGUGGGCGAGAAGUAUGCGGAAUGCGCGGUGUAGCGGUGAAAUGCUUAGAUAUCGCGCAGAACUCCGAUUGCGAAGGCAGCGUACCGGCGCCAAACUGACGCUGAGGCACGAAAGCGUGGGUAUCGAACAGGAUUAGAUACCCGGGUAGUC